GGCGGCAUGCUUAACACAUGCAAGUCGCACGGGCAGGGGUAACUCUGUCAGUGGCGGACGGGUGAGUAACGCGUAGGUAUCUAUCUCUGGGUGGGGGAUAACCGUGGGAAACUACGGCUAAUACCGCAUGACACCUGAGGGUUAAAGGCGCGAGUCGCCUGGAGAGGAGCCUGCGUUCGAUUAGCUUGUUGGUGGGGUAAAGGCCUACCAAGGCGACGAUCGAUAGCUGGUCUGAGAGGAUGAUCAGCCACACUGGGACUGAGACACGGCCCAGACUCCUACGGGAGGCAGCAGUGGGGAAUAUUGGACAAUGGGGGCAACCCUGAUCCAGCAAUGCCGCGUGGGUGAAGAAGGUUUUCGGAUUGUAAAGCCCUUUUGGCGGGGACGAUGAUGACGGUACCCGCAGAAUAAGCCCCGGCUAACUUCGUGCCAGCAGCCGCGGUAAUACGAAGGGGGCUAGCGUUGCUCGGAAUGACUGGGCGUAAAGGGCGCGUA
rnacentral:rRNA from 1 species